rnacentral:rRNA from 1 species
UACGUAGGCAGCGAGCGUUGUUCGGAGUUACUGGGCGUAAAGGGUGUGUAGGCGGUUGUUUAAGUUUGGUGUGAAAUCCCCGGGCUCAACCUGGGAACUGCGUUUGAAACUGGGAGACUGGAGUGCGGCAGAGGGAGGUGGAAUUCCACGUGUAGCAGUGGAAAUGCGUAGAGAUGUGGAGGAACACCGAUGGCGAAGGCAGCCUCCGUGGGCCAGCACUGACGCUCAUGCACGAAAGCGUGGGGAGCAAACAGG